rnacentral:rRNA from 1 species
GACAUAGGUGGCGAACGUUAUCCGGAUUUAUUGGGCGUAAAGGAUGCGUAGAUGGCAGAAUAAGUUAUCAGUUUAAGUUAAGCUCAACUUGACAGGAGCUGGUAAUACUAUUCUACUCGAGGAAAGGAGAGGUUGGCGGAAUUCUGUGUGGAGCGGUGAAAUGCGUUGAUCUACAGAGGAACACCAAAAAAGGCGAAGGACAGCCAACUAUUCUUCUCCUGACAUUGAGGCAUGAAAGCGUGGGGAGCGAACAGG